CGGGUGAGUAACGCGUGGGUAACCUGCCUUGUACAGGGGGAUAGCAGUUAGAAAUGACUGAUAAUACCGCAUAAGCGCACGAGAUCGCAUGAUUUCGUGUGAAAAACUGAGGUGGUACAAGAUGGACCCGCGUCUGAUUAGCUAGUUGGUGAGGUAAAGGCCCACCAAGGCGACGAUCAGUAGCCGGCCUGAGAGGGUGAACGGCCACAUUGGGACUGAGACACGGCCCAA
rnacentral:rRNA from 1 species